CGUGGCUAACCUGCCCUUGGGACCAGAACAACCCCGGGAAACUGGGGCUAAUUCUCGAUAGGUGAAGAACUCUGGAAUGAGUCUUUGCUUAAAAGAGGCUGGGGUUAUGCUCUCCAGUUUCGCCCAAGGAUGGGGCCGCGACCGAUCAGGUUGUUGGUGAGGUAAUGGCUCACCAAGCCUUUUACCGGUGCGGGCCGUGGGAGCGGGAGCCCGGAGAUGGGCACUGAGACAAGGGCCCAGGCCCUACGGGGCGCAGCAGUCGCGAAAACUUUGCAAUAAGCGAAAGCUUGACAGGGCUAUCCCGAGUGCCAUCCGCUGAGGAAGGCUUUUACCCAGUCUAGAACGCUGGGGGAAUAAGGAGAGGGCAAGUCUGGUGUCAGCCGCCGCGGUAAUACCAGCUCUCCGAGUGGUGUGGAUGUUUAUUGGGCCUAAAGCAUCCGUAGCUGGCUAGGUUAGUCCCCUGUUAAAUCCAACGAAUUAAUCGUUGGAUUGCGGGGGAUACUACUUGGCUAGGGGACGAGAGAGGCAGACGGUAUUUCCGGGGUAGGGGUGAAAUCCUAUAAUCCCGGGAAGACCACCGGUGGCGAAGGCUGUCUGCUAGAACGCGCCCGACGGUGAGGGAUGAAAGCUGGGGGAGCGAACCGGAUUAGAUACCCGGGUAGUCCCAGCUGU
rnacentral:rRNA from 1 species